CCAGGAGUUAACACAUGCGACUGCACACAGGCCACCAGCAGCAAGGAGUCUUCUCCAACCCAACAGCUGGGUUUCUGCUUCUUCACCUUCCAUCCACACACUGGUUAGACAGAGACAUGAACAUUCCAGGAUGAAGGCUUUCCUGCAAGGCCCCCAUUGUCCUCCACUUCACCCGUGGUUUGCCUCCUUCUCGUCUGAGUCCUGCGGCUCCUCGCGCCUGUUCCACGUCUGCACUUCGUAUUGGUGGGGAACCUCAUGGCCAUAAGCUGGGAGGGAGUGGAAGGCAGAGAACUGUGAGCCAAGACAUACUCCCUCUUGCCCUGCUGGGUCUCUCUCUGUACACCGAGGCACUCUUAGGCAGGGAAACCCCUGCGGACUAAGAGGGAGGCUGGGCUCAAGAACCAGCGGGUCCAGACUUUGGCAGAGAAGGGAAAGCUUCCAGGAAGAGGUGGGGGAUGCUUCUCAUUAACAGAUUCGUGGGAGAGGGAAUGCGUAUGGUAUGCUU